rnacentral:lncRNA from 1 species
CUUUAACAAUGUUCCUCUCCAGCAGUUUACUCUGACUUGCACUUAAUAACUGAGGAAUGAGUGAAUGAACCCCCCCCCCCCGCCAAAACACACACACACUCCUUGGGGGCAGCCCUGUGGAAUUCAUGGGCCGCAUUGGAAACGUGGAGGAACAUCAGUCGCCUUUCCAAUUUAGCUGCUACUCCCUCGAGGAGCAGCUCCUGGGUGCUGGUGUGGAUCGCGGGUGGGACCAAGAUCUCUGCGAAGCCCCUGUAUUUCUCUUGCUUCUAGCAAAGAAUGGAGAACUGGGAGUCCCUGCUGCGCACCUCUCCGUACAGAGGGAGUGGAUGCCAUCGCUGGAGAGUUCAGGAGGCAGACGCCAUACUUGACCCCCGGACAGCCGGUGAACCCACGGGUCUUCUCGUGCAGGAUCUGGGAGCAGCAGAUACCGGAUCCUCCUGGGGCCUCUCCCGCGACUUCUAGGACCACGGACUCUAGGCGGAAAUUCCUCCCGCCCUUCCUCCUCACUCCCAUUUGUCCAAUGUGGGCUGAAGACGGAGGCUCGGUUCAUUUGGCGGCCAGUGUCCGCAGGGUUCCUGGUUGCCAAUCUGGAUGAAAGCGUUCAGGUUGGAGUGGGGGGUGCCCAGCUUCGGGAUUGCUUUGGCUGCAAGUACGGAAGGAAGGAGCUGGAGGCAAGAGCUCUGAAGCUCAGCCAAGAUACGUCUUCUGACUCCAGCCAACCCACUGUCAGGACGCUUAAUGACGUUUUUGGCCGGAUAAUCGAGCUCUUUGGACGGACAGUCAUGGUGGCCAUCUCCAAUAAAUCGUGAAUAACGAAUAAGCCAAUAGACCGUUCUCUAAUGAGGCCCACGGUCGUGGCCAUAAC